AAAAUCACGUUGAAACACCGGUUCUCGAACGAUCACAACGUUAAACAACGUUGAGCCCUGUCAGUACCUUGAUGGGGGGCCGUUUGGGAAUAUCAGGUGCUGUAAG